UUUUCAAACACAGUUUUAAUCCAAAAUUACCAAAUAGAUUUAUGCAGUCUCUAUUGUAAAUUGCUUCAAGUUUUGUGAAACAUACUUGACAAGAACUCGGCCUGUCAGAAACAUUUUAAACAAUUUUUUUUUAAAGACAACAUUUGGUGUGUAUAUUCCUCUGGAGGCUUAUUUGAAUAAUGAACAACCAAUUCAGAAGUCUGUGAAUAACUGACCAGAUAUUAUGUGAAAAGUAGGUAAAUUUUUAUAUCCUGAUCCUGCAGGCACAUAUACAGGCAGUGAAAAAAGCAAAAAGGAAAUGAAAGAUGAGGAAAAUGGAUAAGGCUGCAGAUUCCUUACACAAUGGUAAAAAAGUUUCAGUUCAAGACUAAGCUCUAGGCCAAAUGCUGCUGUGCCAUAUGGAGGGGUGUACGUGACAAUUAAGAGAAGAAAAUAAUGCAGUAAGUGCAUAAAACAGUGCACAUGCAGAGAAGACGUGUUAUGGAAAUGCUGUCACUUCCAACAGAGCAUGCAGAUUGGCAAGUACUGGCCAUCUAUGUAAUGCUACAGGAAACCAACUGUGGGCGGAACACUACUGGACAAGAAGUGUGGUCUGUGUCAUGCAGACUUCUCCAGACCUUGUAUACAUUACAACUAUAGCCUGUGCUACAGGACUAAUUCAAGCCAUAAACUGAUGUUAAGAACUGCAGGAAUACCACAGAGUCUGCAAAAGGGUUUGAGUGACGUGAGAGUGGGAUUUGUUAGGGAGAAUGAACCAUAUUUCAGCACUGCCCACUAGAGCUUUCAUCUCCUUUUAUCAGCUUUAGGAUUUGAUCCAAAUACACUUUGUUCUUUUUCUUAUUUGUGAUUUUAUUUUCCUAUUCAUUUUGUGUUGAAUUUGUCAAGGCACUGUGAUGCUUAUGAAUUACUGUUAAAGAAAUAAACAAACAUUGCCUGCUUCAGUUUAAUUUAGUUUGGUUUUAAAUUUGAAUUAACCUUUUUCAAUUCCAAGGUGUUCAUAAUGCACAUUGUAUUUAGGGGAAAAAAAAACCCAAUCAUUUUAUGUUUUCUGAAAGCCCUACUUACAAUGGGUAUUUGAAACUAAAGAUAUAUGUUCUCCCUUUUCUUCUGGAAACUAAAACAGACGGUUAUUGUAUUAAUAAAUGUAUUUGUGCUUCAAGUUCCCUUCAUGGAAUAUAAGAAUUUCUAACAUAAAAAAAUGCGUUGUUCCUUCAGAUUAGGUCUGUGUCUUUGAAACACACUGUGUUAGAAUGUUAAUUGAGUUUGACAUAAGCAUGGAUAUAAAAUGCAUCAUGCCACUCAACUUACCAGCAGUGAAACUGAUUACCAAUUAUAAUUGUUCUCUGCAUGCUGACAGCAUACCAAGAUGGAGAUGUUGAAUAUUUCAGUUUGCAAUAUUAUCUGGGUUGUUUAAAGUACUGACUACGUGUCCUGAAACCAAUAGAGGUAAUUGGUAUGCAUGUAAGAGCUGGCAGGCAGAGCACAUCACUUAUUUAUAGACUCUUUUGAUGUAACUCUGUGGAAAAAAAACAUUAAUAAAAUAUGGUUCAAAGGAAAAUUUACACUCACCAUUAUAAUAUGACAUAAAGUACAAAUUAUUGUACCUAAAUAACUGUUUUCUAGUGAAUAGUGUUCCUUUAUCCUUUUAUUGAACUAGUCCACUGA